GUCUGGUUACUGGGAGGGUAAAGGGCUAUUCUUUAAUCACUGUUCCAGUGUGGAAGAUUCAACGGGAAAAGUCCUUGUAAGGACUAGGGCUCCCAGGACUAAGUGUUGUCCAGUGCCUGUGGGUGUCUAGAGCGAAUUUUCCCUUAAGUUCCAGGAGGGAGCGGUUCCAGGACUAGAGCUCCCAGGACUGAGUAUCAUCCAGUACCUGGGGGUUGCUAGAGCGAGUUCCCCAUUCGGCUCCAGGAGGGAGCGGUUCCAGGGCCCCAGUCAAGUCAUGGCGACUGAGGGCAAGAGUGCUGAGGUUUGUCCCCUGU